rnacentral:rRNA from 1 species
GAUGAACGCUGGCGGCGUGCCUAAUACAUGCCAGUCGAGCGAACAGACGAGGAGCUUGCUCCUCUGACGUUAGCGGCGGACGGGUGAGUAACACGUGGAUAACCUACCUAUAAGACUGGGAUAACUUCGGGAAACCGGAGCUAAUACCGGAUAAUAUAUUGAACCGCAUGGUUCAAUAGUGAAAGACGGUUUUGCUGCCACUUAUAGAUGGAUCCGCGCCGCAUUAGCUAGUUGGUAAGGUAACGGCUUACCAAGGCAACGAUGCGUAGCCGACCUGAGAGGGUGAUCGGCCACACUGGAACUGAGACACGGUCCAGACUCCUACGGGAGGCAGCAGUAGGGAAUCUUCCGCAAUGGGCGAAAGCCUGACGGAGCAACGCCGCGUGAGUGAUGAAGGUCUUCGGAUCGUAAAACUCUGUUAUUAGGGAAGAACAAAUGUGUAAGUGACUAUGCACGUCUUGACGGUACCUAAUCAGAAAGCCACGGCUAACUACGUG